rnacentral:rRNA from 1 species
CCCUUAGAUGUUCUGGGCUGCACGCGCGCUACACUGAUGCGCUCAACGAGUUUAUGACCUUGCCCGGAAGGGUUGGGUAAUCUUCUUAAAACGCAUCGUGAUGGGGAUAGAUUAUUGCAAUUAUUAAUCUUCAACGAGGAAUUCCUAGUAAGCGCGAGUCAUCAGCUCGUGCUGAUUACGUCCCUGCCCUUUGUACACACCGCCCGUCGCACCUACCGAUUGAAUGAUCCGGUGAAGCCUCGGGAUUGUGCCCAGAGAACUUUAUUGUGAUUUGGGUGUGAGAACUUGUCUAAACCUUAUCAUUUAGAGGAAGGUGAAGUCGUAACA